rnacentral:rRNA from 1 species
UACGGGAGGCAGCAGUGGGGAAUAUUGCACAAUGGGCGAAAGCCUGAUGCAGCUAUGCCGCGUGUAUGAAGAAGGCCUUAGGGUUGUAAAGUACUUUCAUCGGGGAGGAAAAACAAAACUAAUAAUUUUAUUUCUUGACGUUACCCGAAAAAGAAGCACCGGCUAACUCCGUGCCAGCAGCCGCGGUAAUACGGAGGGUGCUAGCGUUAAUCAGAAUUACUGGGCGUAAAGAGCACGUAGGUGGUUUUUUUAAGUCAGAUGUGAAAUCCCUGGGCUUAACCUAGGAACUGCAUUUUGAAACUGAAAUACUAGAGUAUCGUAGAGGGAGGUAGAAUUCUAGGUGUAGCGGUGAAAUGCGUAGAUAUCUGGAGGAAUACCUGUGGCGAAAGCGGCCUCCUAAACGAAUACUGACACUGAGGGUGCGAAAAGCGUGGGGAGCAAAACAGGGAUUAGAUACC